UCGCCAUAAAAUUAGUUCUUCUCUCCAUUCCACACCAACCACACAAAACAUUCGCCACGGUUAGUAGGUGAGACCGAAAACCAACAAAAGACACUAUAAUAGCAGUACCGCAAGGGAAUUUUACUAAAGCCUUAAAAAGCAACGAUUAACCCCUGUACCUUUCGCAUCAUGGUUUAGCAAGACCUAAAUGCGGCAACUUGCCCGCCAAGCCGCAUACCCCGAAACUAAGUGAGCUACCCUUGGGCGUGGGGUUACUACACCACACCCGUCUCUGUAGCAAAAGAGUGGGAUGACCCAAAGGUAGAGGCGAAACACCUAUCGCACUUAGCAAUAGCUGGCUGCUUGAUACAGAAUAUUAGUUCUAACUUAACAAAAUCCAGCAACUAACCAAUUGCCAGUUAAGGAACUCAUUGGGGGUACAGCCCCAAUGACACGGGAUACAACCCGCACCUGAGGGUAACCUACUAAUAAAUCACACCAAGUAGGCUUUACAGCGGCCACCCAUUUAAACAGCGUUACAGCGUAACUUACACUAAUUCAUCCACCCAUCAAAAACCCCAGCAAGCCUAAAAGCAACUCUAUAGCAAUAGUCACACUUAUGCUAAAACUAUUAAUAAGUCAACAAACUCUUUGCGCACUUUAAAAUCAGCUACUGAGAGGACUACUAACGAUAAAGCACACGCCUACCACUCAAUCCACAGUUCCUUUUUCCCCGUAAAACCAACUCAGGCGCGCACUAAAGAAAGAUGAAAAGCUAUAGAAGGAACUCGGCAACCACAGACUCCAACUGUUUACCAAAAACAUAACCUUUAGCCAUACAAGUAUUAAAGGCAUCGCCUGCCCAGUGAACAACCUUAAACGGCCGCGGUACCCUAACCGUGCAAAGGUAGCAUAAUCAUUUGUCUAUUAAUUAUAGACUGGUAUGAACGGCUGCAUGAGAGUCACACUGUCUCCUUACGCCCAUCAAUGAAACUGAUCCCACAGUACAAAAGCUGUGAUACCGCCACAAGACGAGAAGACCCUGUGAAACUUCAACCACCUUCUUUAACCUCCCCACAAAGAAGAUGUUUCAGUUGGGGCGACUUCGGGGAAAAACAAAACCCCCGAACCACACGGCCAAAACCCACUACAGCGGCUGACAAGCCUACUACGACCCAGUAUAACUGAUAAAUGAACCAAGCUACUCCAGGGAUAACAGCGCUAUCUUCUUCUAGAGCCCAUAUCAAAAGGAAGGUUUACGACCUCGAUGUUGGAUCCGGGCAUCCAAGUGGCGCAGCCACUACUAAUGGUUCGUUUGUUCAACGAUUAAUAGC
rnacentral:rRNA from 1 species